UACAGAGGGUGCGAGCGUUAAUCGGAAUUACUGGGCGUAAAGCGCACGUAGGCGGCUUGGUAUGUCGGGUGUGAAAUCCCCGGGCUCAACCUGGGAACUGCAUCCGAAACUGCCUUGCUCGAGUAUGGGAGAGGGAAGUGGAAUUUCCGGUGUAGCGGUGAAAUGCGUAGAUAUCAGGAGGAACACCAAUGGCGAAGGCAGCUCGCUGGGACGUGACUGACGCUGAGACGCGAAAGCGUGGGGAGCAAACAGG
rnacentral:rRNA from 1 species